rnacentral:rRNA from 1 species
CGAGCACGCGCGUGUGGCAUAUCAAUAAGCGGAGGAAAAGAAACUAACAAGGAUUCCCUUAGUAACGGCGAGUGAAGCGGGAAGAGCUCAAAUUUGAAAUCUUCAAGGUUCUACCUUGACGAAUUGUAGUUUAUAGAAGUGUUUUCUGUUAGUAGGAGUGGCAAAAGUUCUUUGGAAUAGGACAUCAUAGAGGGUGAGAAUCCCGUAUUUGGUCAUUCUUUCUAGCUUUGUGAUACACUUUCAACGAGUCGGAUUGUUUGGGAAUGCAGUCCAAAAUGGGUGGUAAAUUUCAUCUAAAGCUAAAUAUUGGCGAGAGACCGAUAGCGAACAAGUACCGUGAGGGAAAGAUGAAAAGAACUUUGAAAAGAGAGUUAAACAGUACGUGAAAUUGUCAAAAGGGAAGCGUUUGACACCAGUGUUGUUUUUCCGAAAAUCAAUUACGAAUGUUUUGUUUUUAAGGAGUUAUGACUUCAUCGGCUUGCUUCUUUCUUUACGAAACUUUCUUAAUGCACUUUUCGGUUAACAAGUCAACAUCAAUUUCUUUUGUUGUAAAAGGGUACGAGGAAGGUGGCUUUCUUUUCGGAGAAAGUGUUUAUAGCCUUGUACCUCUGCAAUCGGAGAGAUUGAGGUCUGCAGCGUAGAUCCUUCGGGAUUAGAUACAUUUGUGCUAAGUUAUAGCUUUUCAUAGACAACUUGUUGACUAUGUUAAGUCUUGUAGCUUACUCGCUUAUGCUAUUUUACCUACGCUUAGGAUGUUGAGUAGCGACAUACGCAC